rnacentral:lncRNA from 1 species
GUGGAAGUGCAGCACCUGCACAUGUAUUCGCUGACAGCUGUAAGAAGGGAGGUAGCACUCCUGAGCCAGUACAGAGCGAGUGGGAGGUGUGAACAUGACACCAAGCAGGGAGGUUGGAAUGCACUGCACAAGCGCACCGCCCCCACAUCUUUACCACAGCACAGGAAGAGGUCUGGAUCAAGCCUGCUGUGAAGUUGUUGUUGUUUUUUUUUAGGGGAAUGCUAAACUUUUGUUGUGACAAGUCUCAAAGCUGUCCGAAUCGUGUAAGAAAAAAAGGCGUGACAAUUCGGAGGCAGAAAAAAGCUCAGACUCAGAAUAAACCUCCUCAACAGGUCAUCGGAAAGGAAUCACCACGUUGGUGAGAAGCACAGUAGUUUAGGACAAUCUCAGGAAGUCCACAAAUAAGAGGAGGCCAUUCGGCCCCUGAAAAAAUCUUUUGGUUCUAUUUCUUGAUCCACACCCAGCGCUUGUUCCAAGUUUCCCAGGUAUCACCUUCUCUUGAAACUCCUAUCCUCCAAUGUGGAGCAAACGCCAACAUCAGACUUCAAUCCAUUUUGGAAGUGAAGCACAUGAAAAAUCCCUUUGGAACACGGGAAGAACAUGAAAACGUUUCUUGUCCUAGUGUGGCAAAAUGAACGCUGAACUGAGCUUCAUGUCCUGCGUCGAACGUGUUAUUUUCCUUCAUUCUAAACAAAAGCGCCUGUCCACCGGAGCUCCAUCAUUCGCCUUUCUCUGGCGGCGCUGCCUUCACUUCACUCCACUCCACUUCACGGUCCCUUCAUCCAGUUUCUGCAGGCUGAGUCUUCGACGACCUGGUUGCUUGCAGUCUCGUCUGCCCUGGAACUCUGGACAUCUCCUCGGCUGCCCCCAUCUCCGCUGCUGCUACCCGGAUCCAUUCCAGGGGUGCUUCCUACAGUACAUCCAGAGCCUCUGA